GACGAACGCUGGCGGCGUGCCUAAUACAUGCAAGUUGAGCGCUGAAGGUUGGUACUUGUACCAACUGGAUGAGCAGCGAACGGGUGAGUAACGCGUGGGGAAUCUGCCUUUGAGCGGGGGACAACAUUUGGAAACGAAUGCUAAUACCGCAUAAAAACUUUAAACACAAGUUUUAAGUUUGAAAGAUGCAAUUGCAUCACUCAAAGAUGAUCCCGCGUUGUAUUAGCUAGUUGGUGAGGUAAAGGCUCACCAAGGCGAUGAUACAUAGCCGACCUGAGAGGGUGAUCGGCCACAUUGGGACUGAGACACGGCCCAAACUCCUACGGGAGGCAGCAGUAGGGAAUCUUCGGCAAUGGACGAAAGUCUGACCGAGCAACGCCGCGUGAGUGAAGAAGGUUUUCGGAUCGUAAAACUCUGUUGGUAGAGAAGAACGUUGGUGAGGGUGGAAAGCUCAUCAAGUGACGGUAACUACACAGAAAGGGACGGCUAACUACGUG
rnacentral:rRNA from 1 species